rnacentral:tRNA from 1 species
GCAGGAAUAGCUCAGUUGGUAAAGUGCUUGCCUUGUAAGUUGGCAUGAGGACCUGGGUUCAAUUUCUUUUCUGCU